UAGAUGGUGAAGACUGAAAAACCUGGCGUGUUGCGCUGCGCUACCCUGCCUUGCCUCAUUGCGCCGCUGUCUAUGCGGAACGGCCGUCGGAUCGGUUCCUUGCCGGACUACGGGGCUGCCUCCGCCGGUGCUCAUGUUGCAGAGAGGCUGCGGGUGAGACUGGAGACGCGUGCCUCGUGGAAAAUCCAUGCGUUCCUCCCUUUCCCCCAAAUCACGAGCAGAGCUAGAGAGAGAUGGAUACUCGAGGAGGGCGAUUACGGCGAUGGAUUCACCGAGCGAGGCCUGAGACAUGGAUUGUGUCGCGGUCGGGGUGUCAUCUGGGCAGCUGCGAGGAUGAGCCGCAGCAGGGCCAUCAAUGCGCCUUGGCACCUGUGCAGAUUCGGCCAUGGGGGUGGCUCAGCACCAUGUGGCUGGGCGCGGGUAAGAUGGAUAUGGCGGUAGCCUUUGACCUUUUGCCCCCUCCGCAUACUCGUCCCUGUCACAGUGGCACUCCCCUUGCCUUGGGUUUGAGCUCUUCUUGCAAAUUCUCCUCGUUGCUGCCACUCCUCCAAGUCGUCCCAGCUGUAGUAGCCGCCGCAGUCUAUAAAAGGGAAGUAGGAGAAUCAACAUGCAAGCAUGAGACAAGGUUCAGAUCUUGAAGAGUCACAAUGAGAUCCACGUGCACAUUUGUUUGACAUCGCACAGUUAGUUUUCCACUGCGCUCAAAUUAUGUAGCUGAUAGAUACACAUGAUAGAUGCAUGUUCUGUUAUAACAUGCAAUGUUCUACUAAUGAAGCAUUCCUCAAAUUGAAUCACUUUAGGAUGUGCACGGACAGAUAUGAUUAAAUAUUCUUGUUCACAUCUAUUUCUGUUUAUCCUACUGUUUACGCACCUAUCCAAAUGAUUAAAUAUUUCUAAUGGGAUUUACACGCACAGAUACACCUCAUGGUUGUAGGGUUUUUCUUUGUGUUCCUCCUACAUGCAUGAGCUGAGAUGUUGGUAUAUGCAAAUCAGUCAGAAACAACCAUUUGGUGGCAUCUUUGCCAGGGUAUCAUUGGACUAAUUUUAAGGUGUACCAUCAAUUUUUGUUAAUAUUAGCAUUUGGAGCAUACCAAAAAGUAAACCUUCCUCUCUUUAUUCAUGCUGCCUUAGCUCUCAUCUAUCUUGAGAUUAUGUGAUUCUUUAGGCAACUCAUGGCAAGAAACUUUUGUGAUAGCAAAAUCUAUCUAUCAAACUUACUGACCCAGAACAAGCUGUAGCGCAAGUGCUUGACUCUAUUUUAGUUCUUUCUUUGUUGCUUCAUUCCCCUCUUUUCUCAUGUGAUUGCGUACGUUGUUUCAGUUUGUUCACUCCAUGCUUCCAUUCCUACUGGUGUUUGAAUGUUGUGUGUUGUCUAUGGUGUCUUCUGUGAGAAGGGGCAUGCAGUGGUGUUCUCUGUGGAGGGGAGCUAUUUGCUUGCCAUGGUUGGGGUCUUUUGCAUCGGUCUUCUCUGGUCUGCUUGUGGGUGGAGGGGUUUGGGUGGUUUUCAGUUGCUGGACUUCGUCGACCUGCCUGCCUUCCUACGCUCCAUCUGAAGGUUUGGUUUCGCGUGCUGAUGUGAAUUUGGGGAACAAUUACAAUAUAUGUGCUUCUAUUAGUAAGCUAUUUAAAUCAUGUUUCCUAAAAAUUAAGUAUGUUGUUUACAUAUAAAAUGCAACAUUUCAGCAAGCUUUGGAGCAUGAUAUCGGUUUCGGUACUACACCAUGCAUAGUCACGUACUUGAAAUAUAACACACUUACAAGUUAGAAUUAAAACAAGAUCACCAAUAGAAGGUCUUCACGUUCUAUCUGGGUUUUAACAAAAAAGAGUCAAACAAAGCAUGGUUAUGAAUGUGGCAGUAGACUAUGACUAUGUAACAUGCUACUAAAGAUCCUCACCCAAAUUCUCAGGUUAAAUAUGUACUCUUUAACAAGAAUGAAAAUACUAUGUGUGUCCAUUUGGUAAGAUUGUGUUGAAAAUCACAUUAAAUGAUUGUGUUGAUACUAUUUAUCUGUUCAAAUGUAUCAUUACUCUUAAUGUUGUUAGUUAUGUACACUCCUUAGCUGCCGUGUUGACAUGCUCGGUACCAAAUUUUCUGUUUACUAGAAAGUAAAUAACUUCUUAAUUCAACAUUGGAUCUAUUUAAUAAUAUUUUGAUAUAAUGAUCAAUUAGUUUGGAGGUUAUAUUGGGAUUAAGGGAGACAAUUUCAGCGUAGAUCAGGUCCAUAUGAAAUAGCCUGUAGGUCUGGCAUUUUCCUCUAUAUAUAUGUUCUCAUCUACCACUAAUUACACAACAACUGUGAAGAAGAAUGGCUAAACUUGAAGUACAUCGGAAUUUUACAAACACUCUACCUAUGUGAGCACUUAGUUAUAGGGUACAUCUUCUGCCAAAUCUAUCUGUCUUAUUUGACAAUAUAUCUGUGGUGGAACAAUUUUUCUAUAUCUUCUUUCUAAAGUAUGUAAGUACAGAUUAUGGAAGAAUCAACACUUGCGUUACAUAUAUAUUAUGAAUCUCAUAGUUUUGUCUACUGCUGAUGACAACAUGAACAUUUACUGUGGGCCACGAUGGCCAUGGAUGCGAAAUGUGGUGAUGGUCCUGGCUGAGAAAAUCAACUAUAUCUUGGAGUUUUAAUUUGGUAAAAUAUGACCCCCUCACCGCCAAAGACACAGAUUCGUAUGUACCGGUAACUCAAUAAUAACUUCAUUACAGAUUUGUGUGCACCAGGUAAUUGUAUAAUAGCUUCGGCCACUGAUGUGAGAAGUUGCUUAUUGUAUUUUUCUGAUCCUACAACAUAUUUGAAUACAUCAAUUUGGUGACUAUUCAUAAGUGCAACAUCUUCACGUGUAUUAGUAACCCAUCCUACAUAUUGGAAUUAUUUUAUUUCCUCGUGA